UACGGAGGGUGCGAGCGUUGUCCGGAAUCACUGGGCGUAAAGGGCGCGUAGGCGGCCUGCUAAGUCGGGGGUGAAAUCCUGCGGCUUAACCGCAGGGCUGCCUUCUAAACUGUCAGGCUCGAGCACAGUAGAGGCAGGUGGAAUUCCCGGUGUAGCGGUGGAAUGCGUAGAGAUCGGGAAGAACAUCAGUGGCGAAGGCGGCCUGCUGGGCUGUUGCUGACGCUGAGCCGCGACAGCGUGGGGAGCAAACAGG
rnacentral:rRNA from 1 species